rnacentral:pre_miRNA from 1 species
CAACUACUCCCUCUAUCCCAAAUUUCUUGUCUUAGAUUUGUCUAGAUACGGAUGUAUCUAAUACUAAAAUGUGACUUGAUACAUCUGUAUCUAGACAAAUCUAAGACAAGACUUUUGGGACAGAGGGAGUACUUU